UUCUAAGCGCCUGGACUGCAUAUGCAGUUGACGAGGUCCCGGUUUAUCGAAAGAUUCGGCGGAUGGCCGGGAGGCUGGAUACGGCCUUUAACAGAUGGGAAAAAACAGUCCGCGAGGGCUGAACAGAU
rnacentral:ncRNA from 1 species